AUCAUGAUACUUCUAUAUCCAAAGACAAAGAAAUUAUACACAUUUAUUAUAAAUGCAUUUUGUUAGGUUGUUAAAAUUUAGAGUAAUAUAUGCAGUGUCAGUCUGAGAUCUCAAUCUUUUAGCAUCAAACAUAACUUAGGUCCCUCAACUAACUAUUACAUCAUUAUUAAUUAUGAAGUGCCGCAGCCUGGCAGUGACUCUGUCCAUAGAGGUCACCUACCUUCCACCCAUAAGGCUGCCAGGAAUGAGUUUUCAUUUUACAUUAUAUCAUUGCGGAGAUAAUAAUAGCACUCUCAAACAAGCAGUUGUCAUGCUCUGGACGGUGGAUUAAUAGUAGUAAAAGUCUUAAUGGCAAAGGAAAGGCUGGUUACUGCAUGCUUAGCCUAACACCUCUUGGGCAUUGGAUAUCCUUCCUCUGCUCAAACCAUUUGGUAGUUUAUGAACGCAUCGCAUUUUGGCAGCGGGGAAAGGAUGGGAGAGGGGACUUAUAUAUAUUAAGGUUAGAUUUAGUUUGGUAAGAUUUAUAAAGUAUUUUAUUACGGUAACCGCGUGUGGAGCGCUUCGCGCUGCGCCUGUGUUGUCGGGGGCAGUAUGUCAAUGUGUGCCUGUGUGGUUGUCCGCAAAGCAGUGUGGAGGUGUCACCGAAGAGGCCCCAAAGAGUUAUUUAAGUGCCUUGCAGCUCCAGGACACGCGUUGAGGGCCAGCGGGGGACACAUGCAAGGCAGCUGAGACAGUGGGUCCGUCAAUAAACCCAGUGGCAUGAAGAACAGCUCACCGCCAGUGUUCGCUGAAGGAACAGUGACAACCCGUCCUCUCAGCGAGGCCUGAGUGACUAUGCUGCUACCAACGCUGAGCCGAGGGAAGGUAAAAGGAACCCUCAGUCAUAACUUAGCCACAUAGCAGACCCUCGUGAUAUUAUUAUGGCCGAAACAGUGAAACAAGAGGAUGCAGUGAAAGAACCAGAUGAAAGAACUAGAAUGAAACCAGAAGAACCAGAACCAGAGGACUCAUGAUUCACCGGCUGUAGCAUCACCAUUGUCUCGGCGGCAGCAACGGUGAACCAAUAUCAAGUGUUACUACUUUUGUAUUACUUAUAUUGUGUUGAUUUUAUGUGUUUGUC